rnacentral:rRNA from 1 species
CCUACGGGAGGCUGCAGUGGGGAAUAUUGCACAAUGGGCGAAACCCUGAUGCAGCGACGCCGCGUGAAGGAUGAAGGCCUUCGGGUUGUAAAGCUCUAUCCUCAAGGAAGAUAAUGACGGUACUUGAGGAGGAAGCCCCGGCUAACUACGUGCCAGCAGCCGCGGUAAUACGUAGGGGGCUAGCGUUAUCCGGAUUUACUGGGCGAAAAGGGGGCGUAGGUGGUUUCUUAAGUCAGAGGUGAAAGGCUGGGGCUCAACCGUAGUACGCCUUUGAAACUGGGGAACUUGAGUGCAGGAGAGGAAAGUGGAAUUCCUAGUGUAGCGGUGAAAUGCGUAGAUAUUAGGAGGAACACCAGUGGCGAAGGCGGCUCACUGGACUGUAACUGACACUGAGGCUCGAAAGCGUGGGGAGCAAACAGGAUUAGAUACCCCAGUAGUC